rnacentral:misc_RNA from 1 species
GAUGAAGAACGCAGCGAAAUGCGAUAAGUAGUGUGAAUUGCAGAAUUCAGUGAAUCAUCGAAUCUUUGAACUCACAUUGCGCCCCUUGGUAUCCCGAGGGGCAUGCCUGUUCGAGCGUCAUUUCACCACUCAAGCCUGGCUUGGUGUUGGGCGACGUCCUCUUUGGGGACGCGCCUCGAAACGCUCGGCGGCGUGGCACCGGCUUUAAGCGUAGCAGAAUCUUUCGCUUUGGAAGUCGGGGCCCCGUCUGCCGGAAGACCUGCUCGCAAGGUUGACCUCGGAUCAGGCAGGGAUACCCGCUGAACUUAAGCAUAUCAAUAAGCGGAGGA